rfam:Gossypium raimondii Chr05_contig_22, whole genome shotgun sequence.
AAUACGAAGAUUAUAAAUCAGAUUUUUCCUCCUAGUUUUCAACUUUUUCCCCUGGAAAAAUUAAAAUUCAACUAGAAAUGCUAAAAAUCAAGAGGAAAAAUCUGAUUUGUCAUUCUCGUAUU